UAUUAUUAAGCGGAGGAAAAGAAACUAACAAAGAUUGACAUAGUAAGGGCGACUGAACUGUCACAAGCUCAGCAUGUGAAUCAGUGCUUAUUUCAAUAAGCACUGAAUUGUGGUCUUUCAAUUAUUGCAGCACUUUGACCAGAUGAUGUUUUUUGGAAUAAAAUAGCAAAGAGGGUGAAACUCCUGUUUGUCUGGUCACACGACGCAAUAAUUACUGAGUCGAGUUGUUUGGGAUUGCAGCUCAAAUGCGGUGGUAAAUUCCAUCUCAAGCUAAAUAUUGGUGGGAGACCGAUAGCGUACAAGUACCGUGAGGGAAAGAUGCAAAGAACUUUGAAAAGAGAGUGAAAGAGUACCUGAAAUUGCUGAAAAGGAAGCGAACGAACCUAGUGAAAGCCACGUCAUACUUUCCAAAUUGCUUGCAACUUGGACGCUGUGACUAGCCAAGUACGACUCAAUUGCAACAUGUGAAAACAGGUCAAGACAAGAUCCAUUGUCUUUGGCUUUUGGCACAGAAUGAAAUUCGGUUGUACAAAAUAGAUUUGUUUGCCCCGUCUAGAAACACGGACCAAGGAGUCUAACAUAUGUGCAAGUACUGGGGUUGCAUACCUCGGUGCACAAUGAAAGUGUCAGAGGCUGGAAUGAAAAAGCACAGUCCGCCGGCCUCAAUCCCUUGGGAAAAUGGUCUGAGUGUGAGCAUACAUGUUGGGACCCGAAAGAUGGUGAACUAUGCUUGAGUAGGGUGAAGCCAGGGGAAACUUUGGUGAAGGCUCGCAGCGAUUCUGACGUGCAAAUCGAUCGUCAAAUUUGAGUAUAGGGGCGAAAGACUAAUCGAACUAUCUAGUAGCUGGUUCCCUCCGAAAUUUCCCUUAGGAUAGCUGCAAUCUAUAUAUAGCCAGUUUUGUCA
rnacentral:rRNA from 1 species